rnacentral:lncRNA from 1 species
GAGAUUCCUUAUUGGUUGACUGAUGUAUCUAGUUUAUGUUAAUUAGAUAAGCUGUGUGGAAUGUAUAAAUACUGCUCCUGUCCUGCAAUAAACGGCUUCCACUCCUGCUGAAUCAACGUACACAAGUUGUUUGUCGCCCUCCCCCCUCCCCCGGUUAUUUUGCUGCAGCCGGACUGCGGCAUAAGCCAAGGAGUGGGAUAGCUGGGUCAAAUGGUAGUUCCAGUCCCAAUUUUCUGAGGAAUCUCAGGAAGGGGAGGGGAUGUGGGGAUAGGAAAGAUAGUACCAUGAAAGAGACAUUAUUACUAUAUGUAUAUAUGUGCCUACAUGACCAAUAUGAUUCUGCAACAUGUACACUCAGAAAAAUGAGAAAUUAUAUCCUAUCUAUGUAUGAUAUAUCAAAGUGCAUAAAUGCAUUCUACUGUCAUGUAUAACUA